rnacentral:rRNA from 1 species
GAUGAACGCUGGCGGCGUGCCUAAUACAUGCAAGUCGAGCGAAUGGAUUAAGAGCUCGCUCUUAUGAAGUUAGCGGCGGACGGGUGAGUAACACGUGGGUAACCUGCCCAUAAGACUGGGAUAACUCCGGGAAACCGGGGCUAAUACCGGAUAACAUUUUGAACCGCAUGGUUCGAAAUUGAAAGGCGGCUUCGGCUGUCACCUAUGGGUGGGCCCGCGUGGCAUUAGCUAGUUGGUGAGGUAACGGCUCACCAAGGAAACGAUGCGGAGCCGACCUGAGAGGGUGAUCGGCCACACUGGGACUGAGACACGGCCCAGACUCCUACGGGAGGCAGCAGUAGGGAAUCUUCCGCAAUGGACGAAAGUCUGGCGGAGCAACGCCGCGUGAGUGAUGAAGGCUUUCGGGUCGUAAAACUCUGUUGUUAGGGAAGAACAAGUGCUAGUUGAAUAAGCUGGCACCUUGACGGUACCUAACCAGAAAGCCACGGCUAACUACGUGCCAGCCGCCGCGGUAA